CCCCUCUCAGGAUGGCACCUGAAGAGUUUCCGGUACUCUACCAGUCUUGGCUACAGGAGGGAGAGUCAAGCAGAGGCCUACCCAUUCCAUUCCUAGCUUGGGCAGUGGCUAGCAGGUGGAAGGCGAUCUGCUACAAGU
rnacentral:snoRNA from 1 species